CACAGGCACGGCCCGCCGGGUAAUACGGAGGAUCCGAGCGUAAUCUGAAUUAUUGGUUAAAGGGAGCGUAGGUGGACUGGUAAAGUCAGUUGUGAAAGUUGCGGCUCAACCGUAAAAUUGCAGUUGAUACUGUCAGUCUUGAGUACAGUAGAGGUGGGCGGAAUUCGUGGUGUAGCGGUGAAAUGCUUAGAUAUCACGAAGAACUCCGAUUGCGAAGGCAGCUCACUGGACUGCAACUGACACUGAUGCUCGAAAGUGUGGGUAUCAAACAGGAUUAGAUACCCUGGUAGUCCACACAGUAAACGAUGAAUACUCGCUGUUUGCGAUAUACAGUAAGCGGCCAAGCGAAAGCAUUAAGUAUUCCACCUGGGGAGUACGCCGGCAACGGUGAAACUCAAAGGAAUUGACGGGGGCCCGCACAAGCGGAGGAACAUGUGGUUUAAUUCGAUGAUACGCGAGGAACCUUACCCGGGCUUAAAUUGCAGUGGAAUGAUGUGGAAACAUGUCAGUGAGCAAUCACCGCUGUGAAGGUGCUGCAUGGUUGUCGUCAGCUCGUGCCGUGAGGUGUCGGCUUAAGUGCCAUAACGAGCGCAACCCUUAUCUUUAGUUACUAACAGGUUAUGCUGAGGACUCUAGAGAGACUGCCGUCGUAAGAUGUGAGGAAGGUGGGGAUGACGUCAAAUCAGCACGGCCCUUACGUCCGGGGCUACACACGUGUUACAAUGGGGGGUACAGAAGGCAGCUAGCGGGUGACCGUAUGCUAAUCCCAAAAUCCUCUCUCAGUUCGGAUCGAAGUCUGCAACCCGACUUCGUGAAGCUGGAUUCGCUAGUAAUCGCGCAUCAGCCACGGCGCGGUGAAUACGUUCCCGGGCCUUGUACACACCGCCCGUCAAGCCAUGGGAGCCGGGGGUACCUGAAGUACGUAACCGCAAGGAUCGUCCUAGGGUAAGCCUGGUG
rnacentral:rRNA from 1 species